GCUGUUGUAGCUCAGUGGUAGAGUACUUCCUUGGUAAGGAAGAGGUCGGCAGUUCAAUCCUGCUCAACAGCU
rnacentral:tRNA from 1 species